rnacentral:misc_RNA from 1 species
UUAAGUUCAGCGGGUAUCCCUACCUGAUCCGAGGUCAACCUUGAAGAGUAGAGGGUUCCUGGCAAGACACCGUCGGACAUCUAUAGCGAGGAGUAUUACUACGCUUAGAGCCAGACGGCACCGCCACUAACUUUAAGGCCCGCCCGGAGGCGAAAGGCCCAAGACCCAAGCAUAAGCCUAGAUUGGUUUAAAUGACGCUC